UGAAGAACGCACAUCAUGGUGUCCUGUUUCUAAAGGAUCAGCCUUUGAUAUCUUUGUUGUGACCAAAGCAGAAGGCUAUGAGGUAUAUAUAAACGGACAGUGGUUUUGCCAAUUCAAACACCGCAUGCCAACUGAAAGAGUGACUGCACUUCAUAUUUUUGGGGACAUCAUCUUGAACACCACUGGUAUUGUUGGAAACUGGAGCACAUCUACCUUUGGUAAGGAACUAAACUCUGGUGCCUCACGCAAAAAGUUCUCUCGCAUCCAGUCUGAUGUGCCACAUCCAGUCUGCAGCCCUAGCAAACCAUAUUUGGGAUCGAUUCCUGGAGGCUUGAGACCUGGUGUGGCUUUGUUCUUCCAAGGGGUUGUUCCUUCAGAUUGGGACCGGUAUGCUUCAUGUUUUUUCACUGCACAGUUUCAAUGAAAACCAACAGG